GAUGAACGCUGGCGGCGUGCCUAAUACAUGCAAGUCGAGCGAACGGACGAGAAGCUUGCUUCUCUGAUGUUAGCGGCGGACGGGUGAGUAACACGUGGAUAACCUACCUAUAAGCCUGGGAUAACUUCGGGAAACCGGAGCUAAUACCGGAUAAUAUUUUGAACCGCAUGGUUCAAAAGUGAAAGACGGUCUUGCUGUCACUUAUAGAUGGAUCCGCGCUGCAUUAGCUAGUUGGUAAGGUAACGGCUUACCAAGGCAACGAUGCAUAGCCGACCUGAGAGGGUGAUCGGCCACACUGGACCUGAGGCACGGUCCAGGCUCCUGCGGGAGGCAGCAGUACGGAAUCUUCCGCAAUGGGCGAAAGCCUGACGGAGCAACGCCGCGUGAGUGAUGAAGGUCUUCGGAUCGUAGAGCUCUGUUAUUAGGGAAGAACAUAUGUGUAAGUAGCUGUGCACAUCUUGACGGUACCUGAUCAGAAAGCCACGGCUAACUACGUG
rnacentral:rRNA from 1 species